UACGAAGGGGGCUAGCGUUGCUCGGAAUUACUGGGCGUAAAGCGCACGUAGGCGGCUUGUUAAGUCAGGGGUGAAAUCCUGGAGCUCAACUCCAGAACUGCCUUUGAUACUGGCGAGCUUGAGUUCGGGAGAGGUGAGUGGAACUGCGAGUGUAGAGGUGAAAUUCGUAGAUAUUCGGAAGAACACCAGUGGCGAAGGCGACUUACUGGACGAUUGUUGACGCUGAGGUGCGAAAGCGUGGGGAGCAAACAGG
rnacentral:rRNA from 1 species